rnacentral:rRNA from 1 species
CUACGGGCUGCUGCAGUGAGGAAUAUUGCACAAUGGGGGGAACCCUGGUGCAGCAACGCCGCGUGGAGGAUGACGCAUUUCGGUGUGUAAACUCCUUUUAUAUGUCAAGAAAAUGACGGUAGCAUAUGAAUAAGCACCGGCUAACUCCGUGCCAGCAGCCGCGGUAAUACGGAGGGUGCAAGCGUUACUCGGAAUCACUGGGCGUAAAGGACGCGUAGGCGGGCUUGUAAGUCAGGUGUGAAAUCCUACAGCUUAACUGUAGAACUGCACUUGAAACUACGAGCCUAGAGUAUGGGAGGGGGAGAUGGAAUUAGUGGUGUAGGGGUAAAAUCCGUAGAUAUCACUAGGAAUACCUAAAGCGAAGGCGAUCUCCUGGAACAUAACUGACGCUAAGGCGUGAAAGCGUGGGGAGCAAACAGGAUUAGAUACCCGCGUAGUC